CCUACGGGUGGCAGCAGUGGGGAAUAUUGCACAAUGGGGGAAACCCUGAUGCAGCGACGCCGCGUGAGCGAUGACGUAUUUCGGUAUGUAAAGCUCUAUCAUCAGGGAAGAAAAUGACGGUUCCUGACUAAGAAGCCCCGUCUAACUACGUGCCAGCAGCCGCGGUAAUACGUAGGGGGCAAGCGUUAUCCGGAUUUACUGGGUGUAAAGGGAGCGUAUACGGCGGUGCAAGACAGAUGUGAAAGCCCGGGGCGCAACCCCGGGACUGGAUUUGGAACUGUGCUGCUAGCGUGUCGGAGAGGCAAGGGGAAAUCCGGGUGUAGCGGUGAAAUGCGUAGAUAUUAAG
rnacentral:rRNA from 1 species